rnacentral:rRNA from 1 species
UACGAGGGUGCAAACGUUGCUCGGAAUUAUUGGGCGUAAAGCGCGUGUAGGCGGCUUGUUAAGUCGGUUGUGAAAACCCCAUGGCUCAACCAUGGAAGUGCGUCCGAAAACUGGCAAGCUAGAGUCUUGACGAGGGUGGCGGAAUUCCCAGUGUAGAGGUGAAAUUCGUAGAUAUUGGGGAACACCGGUGGCGAAGGCGGCCACCUGGGAAGGUACUGACGCUGAGACGCGAAGCGUGGGAGCAACAGG